rnacentral:rRNA from 1 species
AUUCUUUCUCCGGAGAAAAAAGGAACCAAGCACAAAAUAAUGAUAAAGGUUAUUAGAGCAGCAAAGAACAGAAGAUCUCGCUUGCCGUCCAUUUUUACUCUCCUUUGUAACAGAUACCAAUAAAGAAUACCAAUAAUAUAAAAUUUGUCAAUAUCUCUAAAAAUUUGAGCGGGAGCAAACCUGGGGAAGUAAAACAUUUCAGUACCCAGAGGAAAAGAAAUCGAACAGAUCCCCUUAGUAGCGGCGAGCGAAAAGGGGGAAGCCUAAACUCUUCGAUUCGACACUACGUGUCUCACUCAGAGCAAGCCUGUUGUAAAAUAGGUUUACCCUGAGCGAGGUACGCAGUACCGAGUCGAAGGGGGUAAUAAGGAUAGUACACCAAAAAUUUGAAUUUCGGUCUCCAUUGAUCGAGAUUCAAGUUUUUAAAGAAGUUACAAAUUCCAAAGUUAGCAGAACGGCCCUGGAACGGCCGACCAUAGAAGGUGAUAGUCCUGUAAGCGAAAACUUCUGGAACUUCUGUAUUAUUUCUUGAGUAGCCCGGGAUAAGGAUGUCCUGGGUGAAUUUGCCCAUACUACUGGGUAAGGCUAAAUACUUUUAGUGAUCGAUAGUGAACAAGUACCGUGAGGGAAAGGUGAAAAGCACCCCGGUUAGGGGAGUGAAAUAGUAACUGAAACCAUAUGCCUACAAAGAGCAGGAGCCUGGCCGUCGCAAGACGUCCGGGUGACUGUGUGCCUAUUGAAGAAUGACCGAGCGAGUUUAUCUAAAUUGCUCUAUAAGUUCUUAUGGAACGGAUAGAUAGGGAAACCGAGUGUUAAAAGCGCGAUUUAGAACUAGAUACUUCUCGUCCAGAGUUUAUACAAAGGACGAAGAGUAUCUAAUUCUAUAAGCAGUUUGGAUAAGACCCGAAGCCAGAGCGAGCUAACCAUGACCAGGGUGAAAGUUGUCGAAAGACAACUGGAGGCCCGAACCGAUAGAUUGCUCAAUAUCUCCGGAUGAGUUGUGGUUCGAAGUGAAAAGCUUAUCGAGCCUGGUAAUAGCUGGUUCUCCCCGAAAUGCGUUUAGGCGCAGCGGUAUUAAGUAGCUUGGGGGGUAGAGCACUGAUUGGUUUGCCGUGCCCUUUUGGGUAGGUUUACCAAAUAAACUCCGAAUACCCAUGUGUAAUUAAUACCAGUGAGUACGUGAGGGCAAAGCUUCACGUACGCGAGGGAAAGAGCCCAGAUCACCGCUUAAGGUCCCUAAAUCUAUGCUAAGUGUGAAAGGAAGUAUUUUGCCUCAGACAGGUAGGAGGUUGGCUUAGAAGCAGCCACCCUUUAAAGAGUGCGUAAUAGCUCACUACUCGAAUUCGCCGCAAGGCGAAGGGGCAAGAUGCGCCGAAAAUGUAACGGGGCUAAGCAUAGUACCGAAAGCGUGGAUUCAUUCCGAUUUAUCGGAGUGAGUGGUAGGGGAGCAUUCCCAUUGCUGUGAAGGUACACUGUGAAGCGUGCUGGAGCGAUGGGAAGGGAGAAUGCUCGGAUGAGUAACCGCAAGUGACGUGAAAACCGUCACCGCCGUAAGUCUGAGGUUUCCUCCGCGAUGGCAAUCAUCGGAGGGUUAGGCGUUCCUAAGGAUAACCGUGCUUUUGGGCACGGGAUGCUGAUGGACAGCCGGUUAAUAUUCCGGCCCCGCUUAUAUGUUCGAAGGGAUGACGGGCAAAACAAGAUCGAGCGCAUUAUGGAUUUGACGUUUUUGGCCUGUAGGAUGCUGACCAGGAAAAUCCGGUCAGGGCCGCAAGGCACAUCCAACGGUUGAAGAAAUCCGGAUUCGUCCGGGAAUUCGAUCGAAGAGGGCUCCAAGAAAAGUCUCUAAGAUUGGCAUAUAAGCGUACGUACCGAAAACCGACACAGGUAGACUGGUGUAAGUGCACCAAGGCGAACGGGUGAUUAUUGGCUAAGGAACUCGGCAAAAAAGCGGCCGUAACUUCGGGAUAAGGCCUUCCAUCGCAAGAUGGACGCAGCUAAAGAACCCCUGGCGACUGUUUAUCAAAAACACAACUCCGUGCUAAGCCGAAAGGCGCUGUAUACGGGGUGACGCUUGUCCGGUGCUGGAACGUUAACGGUUGAAGUGGUGCAGCAAUGCACUGCGGAAGCCCGAAGCGCCAGUGAACGACGGCAGUAACUAUAACUGUCUAAAAGUAGCGAAAUACCUUGUGGGGUAAGUUCCCACGCGCAUGAAUAGCGCAACGACUGGGGGACUGUCUCAGCCAAUAGCCCGGUGAAAAUGCAAUGUCAGUAAAGAUGCUGACUACCCGCGCCAAGACGGAAAGACCCCGGAAGCUUUACUGUAGCUUGGUAUUGGUCUACGAGUUGUUAUGCGUAGCGUAGUGGGUAGCCUUUGAAGUGUCUCUCUCGGGAGGCAUGGAGGCGCCAAUGAAACACCCAUCUUAACGAUUUGUAGCUCUAACCGGUAUGACCCUAAAAGGGUAUUACAUAAGCUAAAGUGAGCUCCUGGUAAUGGAGUAAUUUUAGUUUUAUCAAUUUUAUCUUUUUAGGGUUAUAUCGAGACAGUGCCUGGCGGGCAGUUUAUGUGGGGCACAUGCCUCCUAAAAAGUAAUGGAGGCGUUCAUCAAGGUCGGCUAGUUCCGGAUGGAAAUCGGAACGAUAGCGUAAAGGCAAAAGCCGGCUUAACUGCGAGACGGAUGUGUCGAGCAGAUGCGAAAGCAGGACUUAGUGAACCGACUCUUUGCGGGAAAUUUGAAUAACAUUUAUUUGUUAUUCAAGUUUCUCCUGCUCGUAGGAGCGGAGAAGAUCAUCAGAUAAAAGCUACUCCGGGGAUAACAGGCUGGUACCACCCGAGCGUUCACAGCGACGGUGGUGUUCGGCACCUCGAUGUCGGCUCGCCCUAUCCUGGGACUGAAGAAGGCCCCAAGGGUUUGGCUGUUCGCCAAUUAAAAGGGUACGCGAGCUGGGUUCAAACCGUCGUGAGACAGGUUGGUCCAUAUCUGGCGUGGGCGUUGAUACUUGAGAGGAGUUGUCCCUAGUACGAGAGGACCGGGAUGAACGAACCUCUGGUCUACGAGCUGUUCUGCCAAGAGCAUUGCUCGGUAGCUAUGUUCGGUUCUGAUAAGCGCUGAAAGCAUAUAAGCGCGAAGCAGGCCUCAAGAUAAGGUAUCUGAUCCGCAGUAGAUGACUGCGUUGAUAGGGCUCAGGUGGAAGCGCCGUGAGGCGUUGAGCCGAGAGCUACUAAUCGAUCAAACAAUUUAAGUAG